CCUACGGGUGGCAGCAGUCGAGAAUCAUUCACAAUGGGGGAAACUCUGAUGGUGCGACGCCGCGUGGGGGAAUGAAGGUCUUCGGAUUGUAAACUCCUGUCAUGUGGGAGCAAAUUAAAAAGAGAGUACCACAUGAGGAAGAGACGGCUAACUCUGUGCCAGCAGCCGCGGUAAUACAGAGGUCUCAAGCGUUGUUCGGAAUCACUGGGCGUAAGGCGUGCGUAGGCUGGUUCGUAAGGCGUAUGUGAAAGGCGCGGGCUCAACCGGAGGACGGCACAUGAUACUGCGAGAUUAGAGUAAAGGAGAGGGAAGCGGAAUUCGCGGUGUAGCAGUGAAAUGCGUAGAUAUAGAGAAGAACACUCGUGGCGAAGGCGGGUUCCUGGACAGUAACUGACGCUGAGGCUCGAAGGCCAGGGGAGCGAAAAGGAUUAGAUACCCGAGUAGUC
rnacentral:rRNA from 1 species